rnacentral:rRNA from 1 species
GACGAACGCUGGCGGCGUGCUUAACACAUGCAAGUCGAACGGAAAGGCCCUGCUUUUGUGGGGUGCUCGAGUGGCGAACGGGUGAGUAACACGUGAGUAACCUGCCCUUGACUUUGGGAUAACUUCAGGAAACUGGGGCUAAUACCGGAUAGGAGCUCCUGCUGCAUGGUGGGGGUUGGAAAGUUUCGGCGGUUGGGGAUGGACUCGCGGCUUAUCAGCUUGUUGGUGGGGUAGUGGCUUACCAAGGCUUUGACGGGUAGCCGGCCUGAGAGGGUGACCGGCCACAUUGGGACUGAGAUACGGCCCAGACUCCUACGGGAGGCAGCAGUGGGAAAUAUUGCACAAUGGGCGGAAGCCUGAUGCAGCAACGCCGCGUGCGGGAUGACGGCCUUCGGGUUGUAAACCGCUUUCGCCUGUGGCGAAGCGUGAGUGACGGUAAUGGGUAAAGAAGCACCGGCUAACUACGUG